UAACACGUGGUCAACCUACCCGCGAUGGGGGAUAACUAGCCGAAAGGUUAGCUAAUACCGCAUAAAACGUAGCGAGGCAUCUCGCAACGUUGAAAGGAGCAAUCCGCUCAUGGACGGGACCGCGUCCGAUUAGCUUGUUGGUGAGGUAAUGGCUCACCAAGGCUCCGAUCGGUAGCUGGUUUGAGAGAGCGACCAGCCACACUGGGACUGAGAGACGGCCCAG
rnacentral:rRNA from 1 species